UGUAUGUUGUAAGUAAUGCCAUUUUCGAAAUUCGAAUAAUCCACAACUGAACGAGUCAUGAAAGGACUAAUAACUAGCCAUUGGGGUUUGUUGUUGUAGCACUGCUAGGCUAAACUAUACAAUUGUUCAAAAUGUGACAGCCCUAACAUCUAAUAUUUGGUCUCACACCCUAGCGAUGAUACAGGACAUUUUGCCGGUGUAUGCAAGAAAAAAAGAAAGACAACCAUAUGAGAUGUGUUUUUCUGAUACAAAUGUACAUCAAGAACAAGUGUGAAUACAACCACGCAUGUUACACUGAGAUCCAAGCUACUUCAUGAGACGGUACCUGAGACUCUCCAAUCUCUGGGCCUGAGAGAGGUUGCCGUGGAGCUCGCCCACCUUAAGGCCCAUCAGGCCCAGCAGGAUGUGCAUGCGGUGGGCCUGCUUCUUGGUCUGCGUGAAGAGCAUCACAUGGUCUUGGAAGG